rnacentral:pre_miRNA from 1 species
GUAGUACUCCCUCCGUCCGGAAAUACUUGUCGAAGAAAUGGAUGUAUCUAGACGUAUUUUAGUUCUAAAUACAUCCAUUUUUAUGCAUUUCUGUGACAAGUAUUUCCGGACGGAGGGAGUACUAC